rnacentral:miRNA from 14 species
GUGGAUUUUCCAGUGCCAUUUA